GUGGGGAAUAUUGGACAAUGGGCGCAAGCCUGAUCCAGCCAUGCCGCGUGAGUGAUGAAGGCCUUAGGGUUGUAAAGCUCUUUCAGUGGGGACGAUAAUGACGGUACCCACAGAAGAAGCCCCGGCUAACUUCGUGCCAGCAGCCGCGGUAAUACGAAGGGGGCUAGCGUUGUUCGGAUUUACUGGGCGUAAAGCGCACGUAGGCGGAUCGUUAAGUCGGGGGUGAAAUCCUGGAGCUCAACUCCAGAACUGCCUUCGAUACUGGCGAUCUUGAUUCCGGAAGAGGUGAGUGGAACUCCUAGUGUAGAGGUGGAAGUCGUAGAUAUUAGGAAGAACACCAGUGGCGGAGGCGGCUCACUGGUCCGGUACUGACGCUGAGGUGCGAAAGCGUGGGGAGCGAACAGGAUUAGAAACCCUUGUAGUCC
rnacentral:rRNA from 1 species